UGGGGAAUAUUGGACAAUGGGCGAAAGCCUGAUCCAGCAUGCCGCGUGUGUGAAGAAGGCCUUUUGGUUGUAAAGCACUUUAAGUGGGGAGGAAAAGCUUAUGGUUAAUACCCAUAAGCCCUGACGUUACCCACAGAAUAAGCACCGGCUAACUCUGUGCCAGCAGCCGCGGUAAUACAGAGGGUGCAAGCGUUAAUCGGAAUUACUGGGCGUAAAGCGCGCGUAGGUGGUUAUUUAAGUCAGAUGUGAAAGCCCCGGGCUUAACCUGGGAACUGCAUCUGAUACUGGAUAACUAGAGUAGGUGAGAGGGGAGUAGAAUUCCAGGUGUAGCGGUGAAAUGCGUAGAGAUCUGGAGGAAUACCGAUGGCGAAGGCAGCUCCCUGGCAUCAUACUGACACUGAGGUGCGAAAGCGUGGGUAGCAAACAGGAUUAGAUACCCUGGUAGUCCACGCCGUAAACGAUGUCUACCAGUCGUUGGGUCUUUUAAAGACUUAGUGACGCAGUUAACGCAAUAAGUAGACCGCCUGGGGAGUACGGCCGCAAGGUUA
rnacentral:rRNA from 1 species